rnacentral:rRNA from 1 species
UUCGCAAUGCCCGAAAGGGUGACGAAGCGACGCCGCGUGUGGGAAGAAGGCCUUCGGGUUGUAAACCACUGUCGGGAGUUAGGAAAUGUAAGGGUGUUAAUAGUAUCCUUACUUGACUAAGGCUCCGGAGGAAGCCACGGCUAACUCUGUGCCAGCAGCCGCGGUAAUACAGAGGCGGCAAGCGUUGUUCGGAAUUAUUGGGCGUAAAGAGCACGUAGGCGGCCUUGUAAGUCAGUUGUGAAAGCCUUCUGCUUAACGGAAGAACAGCAGCUGAUACUGCAAGGCUAGAGUGCGGAAGGGGAGAGUGGAACUUCUGGUGGAGCGGUGAAAUGCGUAGAUAUCAGAAGGAACGCCGGCGGCGAAAGCGACUCUCUGGCCCGAAACUGACGCUGAGUGUGCGAAAGCUAGGGGAUCAAACGGGAUUAGAUACCCCGGUAGUCCUAGCCGUAAACGAUGGGCACUAAGUAGAGGGGUUUU